GUCGAACGAUUUCUUUUCUUAUAGCAAUAUAAGAAAAGACAGAGUGGCAAACGGGUGAAUAACACAUGAGUGAUCUACCUUCAGGCGGAAAAUAACCCCGAGAAAUCGGGGCUAAUGUUCCAUAAGACCACGACUCUUCCUAAGAAGAGAUGGGGUCAAAGCUCCCCAAGGAGCGCCGGGAGAUGAGCUCGUGGCCUAUCAGCUAGUUGGUGAGGUAACGGCCCACCAAGGCUAAGACGGGUAGCCGACCUGAAAGGGUGAUCGGCCACACUGGAACUGAGACACGGUCCAGACUCCUACGGGAGGCAGCAGUGGG
rnacentral:sRNA from 1 species